rnacentral:rRNA from 1 species
AUUGAACGCUGGCGGCAGGCCUAACACAUGCAAGUCGAGCGAGCGGCGGACGGGUGAGUAAUGUAUGGGGAACUGCCCGAUAGAGGGGGAUAACUACUGGAAACGGUAGCUAAUACCGCAUACUAUCGGAUGAACCCAUAUGGGAUUCGCUAGUAGGUGGGGUAAAGGCUAACCUAGGCGACGAUCUCUAGAUGGUCUGAGAGGAUGAUCAGCCACACUGGGACUUAGACACGGCCCAGACUCCUACGUGAGGCAGCAGUGGGGAAUAUUGCACAAUGGGCGCAAGCCUGAUGCAGCCAUGCCGCGUGUAUGAAGAAGGCCUUCGGGUUGUAAAGUACUUUCAGCGAGGAGGCGUUACUCGCAGAAGAAGCACCGGCUAACUCCGUGCCAGCCGCCGCGGUAAUAC